UGCCACAAUGAUGACACUUAUUUGCUACUCUUGACCAAGAGAAUGAUGAGAGCUCUUACCACCUUAACUUUGAGCUGAGGCA
rnacentral:snoRNA from 1 species